UUUUGCCCAACUGUAGGCUAAUGUAAGCGAUCUGAGCACAGUUAAGGUAGGCUAAGCUAAGGUGUGAUGUUUAGUAGACUAGGUGUAUUAAAUGCAUUUUCGACUUACGAUAUUUUCAAUUUACGGUGAGUUUAUCGGACGUAAUCCCAUUGUAAGUCGAGGAAGAUCUGUGGUAGUAAAUAUUUUAAU